rnacentral:rRNA from 1 species
AAAAGGAUGUGAUUUUGCUUAGACAAUGGGGAUGUUGGCUUAGAGGCAGCCAUCAUUUAAACAGUGCGUAACAGCUGACCCAUCGAGCGAAAUUGCGCCGAAAAUGAUCGGGACUUAAGCCGUAUACCGAAGCUAUGGGUGCACCGCAAGGUGCGCAGUAGGAAAGCGUCCCAUGUGCAGCGAAGGGGAAGGGGUAACCGACUCUGGAGCGCAUGGGAGUGAGAAUGCAGACAUAAGUAACGAUAAAGCCGGUUGAAAUCCGGCUCGCCGAAAUCCCAAGGAUUCCUGGGGAAGGUUCGUCCGCCCAGGGUUAGUCGGGUGCUAAGACGAGGCCGUAAGGAGUAGUCGAUGCCAAGCAGGUUUAAUAUUCCUGCACCACUGUAUAUACGUUCGACCUAAGGGGUGACGGAGAAAGUUAGUCCAGCGACGUGUUGAAUCGUCGUCGAAGCUCGUAGGCUGCUCGGGGAUAAAAGACCGGGUAAGGCUGAAAAGCGACAGGACCCUGCGGCCACGGCCAAGGGGGAUUGGAUGAUACUCUGCUUCCGAGAAAAACCUCGUAGUUAGUAUGUGCGGUGCCCGUACCGUAAACCGACACAGGUGGGAUAGAUGAGUAUUCUAAGGCGCGCAGGUUAAUUCUCUCUACGGAACUCGGCAAAUUAACCCCGUACCUUCGGUAGAAAGGGAGCCCCGCUAGGCGCCGCAGUUAAUUGCGUCAAUCGACUGUUUAUCCAAAACACAGCACUCUGCAAAGUCGCAAGACGACGUAUAGGGUGUGACACGUGACCAAUGCGGAAACGUGAAAGUCUAGGGUGCAAGCUCUGGAUCUAAGCCCCCGUGAAUGUCGGCCGUAACUAUAACGGUCCUAAGGUAGCGAAAUUCCUUGUCGGGUAAGUUCCGACCCGCACGAAUCGUGUAACGAGUUGACGACUGUCUCGGAGAGAGGCCUGGUGAAAUUGUAGUGGCGGUGAAGAUGCCGCCUACCCGCAGCAGGACGGAAAGACCCUAUGCACCUUUACUGUAAGCUGUUAUUGUCGCUUGAGUUUCAAUACGUAGAAUAGGUGGGAGACUGCGAAGCCCGGUUCCAGGAUCGGGCCGAGUCACAAUGUGAAAUACCACUUUUUGUUACUUAGGCGUCUAACCUCGCACCAUCAACUGGUCGUGGGACAGUGAUAGCAGGUCAGUUUUUCUGGGGCGGAAUCCUCCCAAAGAGUAACGGAGGAUUACGAAGGUUCCCUCGGCCCGGUCGGUAAUCGGGCUAUAGAGCGCAUGAGUAUAAGGGAGCUUUACUGUGAGACCUACAAGUCGAGCAGUUGCGAAAGCAGGUUCAAGUGAUCCGGUGGUUGAAUGUGGAAUCGCCAUCGCUCAUAGGACAAAAGGUACGCUAGGGAUAACAGGCUGAUCGCGCCCAAGCGUUCACAGCGACGGCGCGGUUUGGCAC